UAUACACAUUUCAUACGUUCUUCAUACAUAAAAUUUGAGCGAACUUUUUAAGCCUUGAGCAAGAUAUACACAUUUCAUACACAAAAAUUUGAGCGAUUAUUUUAAGUCUUGAAUAUUGUAUCAAAGUUGUAUACAAUGUUAUUGUAGUUGUAUUAAUUUUACAGAAAUCUAACAUGAACUUUAUACACGGAAAUGUGAGCGAAAUUUUAAGACAUGAGCAAGAUACAAAUUUCAUAUUGUUUUCAUACACACAAUUUUAAGCGAAUUUUUUAAGCCUUGAACGAGAUAUACACAUUUCAUACAUUUUUCAUACCGUUUUCAUACACUAAAUUUUGAGCAAACUUUUUAAGUCUUGAGCGAGAUAUACACAUUUCAUACGACUUUCAUACAUAAGUUUUUGAGUGAAAAAAAAAAUUAAUUUUUUUAAAAAAAAUUAUAAAAAAAAUAAAAAAAUAAUUAAAAAAAUAAUUUUAAAAAAAAUAUUUAAAAAAAAAAUAAAAAAUUUUAAAAAAUAUAAAGCAUGUUUUGUAUAGGAUUUGUAAUGUUAUGUUUUGUAAAUAUAAAAUAAUCGUCACGUUUCGUAAAUAUUUCUCCUUAAAAUGUAUAUAUAUAUGUCAAAGACCCUAAUUUUAAUUAAUUAUGAAAAAACUUGUGUGACUUUGAUACUAUCAAAAUUACCACGACGUACUUCCUAUUCUUUAUCUCAUACCUACCACUCGUUCAUCCCAUCCCUUUUCACAAGUCCAAUAAUGAAAGCACCAUCUCCAAUGGAUCUUUUUUUUUUCCCAUAGGAAUUCAUAUUCUUUCUGUGUCUAUGAAUCAGAUCAAGUCUUUUCUUUAGGAGAUGUGGUAAUUUUGCCAUCAAUUAACUAUCAAUCCUCGUAACAUGUUAAUUAGCCUAUCUCUUUUGAUCCAAAUGGCUCUUCUUCUGGCACAACAUCUAUCUUAGUCCUGGUUAUGUUGUCAAUUGUCUCUCGGAUAUGUAUACCUUGUGUCAUCUCUCAAUUGACAUCGGAUUUCAAUUGCCAACUAUGGCAUUCAAAAGAGAAAAAACAUUCGGUACUAAGAGAUACCAAGCCAAGAUUGACUCAGAUGUAUCUUCCCUCCAUAAUUGGAGGAAUGAAAUUGUUCCGAGCUUUAUGUUUUAGAUCUGCCAAAUCGAUUAGUGUUUACGUAAUGCUCAUGGAAUUAUAUACCUAGCUGCAAAGGAGCGUUACUUUGGCGUCGGAAGUGGAUCAAGACGACUUAUUUCGAUCGUAGAGAAGCACGGUGAGCUACUUGUCUACUUUUAAGCAUGUUCUUAGAAAAUUGACUUUUAUAUUUCCCGAUCGAUCAUUUAUAUUUGUUUGUCUUAGAAAGUAUACAUAUGUCAAUUUUAUGUAAUAUUAUAUUA